rnacentral:lncRNA from 1 species
AAUUUCAUCAAUAUCUGUACCAAUUUAGGUGACAAUACAACAAAAUCCAAGGAUUAGUGAUGACAAUGUACAUGUCAUAAGGAAUGAUAUUUGGUACCAAACUUUAUAAAAGUCAUUGUCCCAAAGAAACUGUUAAGAAGUGUCCAAAAGUUAUCUAAAUACUUCACAUUAAGUACAGAAGCGGCCCAUCCAGAUUAUUUCCCAUUAUGUUGCAUAUUUUUCAAACAGUGCCAAUCAAAGCCUAAUUUGCAUUUUGGCUUUGUCUUACACAGUUAUCAGCUGUUAAAAAGCAAUUUACAUGUGUUUUUAAUCACAGUCAUUUGGCCAGAUGAACAGUGCUUGUGUAACUGAGCUGAUAGCCAGCCUUCCAUGUGUGACUAAGGACCCAUGCAUAGUUUGGUACGCCUCUAAAUGUUUAGUGCUCCAAUUUAACUGGAAAAGCUGUGAAAUGCAGUUGUUUUGCAAACCACACUCCACUCCUUCCAUCUUCCUCUCAAGGAAAAUAUGUUUUGUCAAAUAUUGAAAAACUCUAGGGCUGACUUGUAGAUUUUAUCCAAUGUCCAAGAGUCAGACUUGCUUUUGUUCAAGCCACUUCAAAUAACUAUGGAGAUAUUAUCACCCCAUAAAAGUAUAUUAUGUUUUACUCCUAAGCAAGGGUGAGGAAACUGAAUAUCAUGUGCAAGGCUCAAGACGACGCUUAGGUCAGUACAUGCAGAGUAAAAAUAGUUUCCUUCCAUAUCCAGGUAAUAUAAAGCUGACAAUUGUAAUCCUGUCUUUAUGGGAUGAAAACAGUCCCUUUACAAUAAAUUUCCUGAAAGGGAGAACAAAUAGAUAAUAACUCUUCUGGUAGCAUAUUAUAGUACACUGGCCAGUGUGUUUUUGGCAAUUAAACAUACUCCUGUGAAUCAGAUUAAUUCACUUGCUGAGUGUUCAUUUGCAGCAUUCCUCUGUUGGGUCUUGGGGGCCCUCCACGACCUCGUGGGGCUCCCCGUGGUCCACUCUGCCCAGAGCCUCGCUUGAAAUUCUGCUGAUAUCCAUCCCGCUGAUAGCCAGAGUAGUCCCGGGGAGCACUGAACUGAGACUGUGUAUAACCACUGUUUGGAGUGUUGGAGAACGAAGGGUGGUAGCCAUCAUAUCCUCCUCUGAAUCCAUUGGCAGGGCCCGGGUAUCCAUUCAUCAAGACUCUACCACCACGAGAACCUCCACGGGAUACACGACGACUAUUAUAAUGAGGCUGACUGCUACGUGGAAAUCCAGUGUUCUGCUGAGGAGGCUGCUGGUGGUUACCAGUCACUUGAUGGGGCUGGUCCUGGGAACCAUGCUAAGUGCCAACCACUGUUUGGAGCUGUUCUUGCUGGAGCUGUCUGCUCCACUUGGUGAGGCUGACUGGAAAAGCUCUGGUUAUAACUGGACUGGUUCCGAAGUUUCUUGUUGAUUACCCCGAGGAUCUGCUUCAUGGCCUCGGUCUGGACCGCGCCCGUGCCGGAUGCUGGGUGCUGAGUAGCAGGAGCAGCUGCCCCGGCCGCUGCCGCUGUCUCACUACUGGAGGAACCCGAUGGGGGUGGCGAUCCGGAAGACUUGCUGCCGCUUCCGCUGUGGCUGGUGGCCAAGGGCAUCUUUGAGACUGAGAGGAGAGAGAAGAAAAAGCGGGAGGAAGGACAAGAGCAGUGAGUCAGGAGACAGGGCGAGACGCCAAUGACUGAGUUCUUAAAAGCCUGAUAGAACUUGCCUGUAAAGCAGUCCAGACUUGGUGGAUCUUUAUUUUGGUGUACAUUUGUAUUUUUAAUGGGAAAAUAUUAAACUAUCAAAAUUUUUUUAAAAACUGGUUAUAUAGCCACGCAUGGUGGCACAUGUCUUGUAAUCCCCGCAUUGAGGGAAGCGGAGGCAGGGAGGAUUGCAAGCUUUAGCCCAGCCUGGGCAACUUAGUGAGACCCUGUCUCGAAAUAAUAAAUAACACAAGGACCAGGGAUGUUCUUAGCAUGAAAGCCUUGGGUUCAAUCCCCACUACUGCACUCCCCAAAGGGAUAUGGCUUUCUAUUUUCUAUUUCUUCUGAUAAAUUAAUAUUUUUCUAGGGAUUUAUUUCACUUAUUUCUAUAAAUUUGGUGCAGAGGAUAGAACCCAGAGCUUUCCAAUGGGCCUUUUUAAAAAAAAUGAUUUUAUUGGGGCCAGGGAUUUAGCUCAGUGAUUCCGUCACCUGCCUUGCAAGCGCAAAGUCCUGAGUUUGAUCUCCAUUACCAAAAAAACCAAAAAACAAAAAAUGUUUUUAUUUUGAGACAGACUCUCACAAAGUUGCCUAGGCUGGUCUUCAAUUUACUACCUUUUUGUCUCAGCCUCCCAGGGGCCUGCUCUAUCAGCACCAGGUUCCAGUAGUACUUUUAAAUUAAUCUAUCCUGAACUUGCUGAGACCCUGCCCCAGAGUAGAGAGUGCCUUUUGCCCUCUUCCCCUUCAUAGCCAGGUUCUCUCUGUAAUGGUCUAUAUGUAUUGCUCUCUGCUUUAUGGUAUUCCUGAGUUUGGCCAUUCUGCUUGCUGCAGCUAGUAUCCCCUUUCACCCACUCUCAACAGACACAGUGCACACUUCCUAAUUUUUCUCAACUUUGAUCUUUCUGGAUCAGUUGCUUUUUCUUGAGUCUCUCCUUGACCCAAGCAAAGACUUUGAUUUUUCUGGAGCAUUUGAUGUUAUAAACCAUUUUCUUAAAAGUUUCCUCCAUUUCUUUGUUGAGACACCUCUGGUUUUCCAACUCUGUGGCCCUUUUUCCUUAGUUGUUGGGCCGUCUUGUGUUCCAUACAGUCUCUCUGGGUGACCUCAUCCAAAUUCCUAGAGGCUGAUGACUGACUCUCCAGUCCUAAAAAUAAAACAAAAUCAAACGUUUACUUCCCUUCAAGGCAUCUUUCUCUUCUUUAGGUCUCUGCCCACAGUUCCACCUCCUCACUCCCAGUUUGUUCUGCUGGACCUGUUCUCAGCAAGGUUUUUUCUUUUUCUUUCUUUUUUUUUUUAAAUCUCCUUAAUGUGUAUCCUGUACAUUUGUGUCCUGUAUUUUUCCCUCUUCAUGUAUGUAUGAAUCUAGCACGUAAUAUAGUAUAAUAUUAAGUUUUAUUUAAAACAAGUCAUUUAGGGGCGGGGGAUUUAGCUCAGUGGUUUUGCCGCCUGCUGCGCAAGUGCAAGGACCCGAGUUUGAUCCCCAGUACCAAAAAUAAAUAAAUAAAAAUAAAAACGAGUCAUUCCCCAUUCAUUGAGCAUUCAGGUGGUUUCAGUUUAUUUUAAAUAAUGCAGCUGUAGGCAGUUUUAGUUCAACAGCCCUCUUCAGCCUACCCCUUUGGGUAAUUUUCUUGGAAUCUAUUUACUGAAGAUGGAAUGACCAGGUCAAAUAAAUUAACCCUUUUGUAGUAUGUGGCCACAUUGCUCUGCAGAGCAAUAUUUAGUUUUAUGCUACCGUUAAUCUUUAAGAAUCUUUCUUUACUCUCCCCUUUCUUACUGUGACAACAUGGUAUUACUGUUUAACUUGUAAUUGAAUAAAAAUGAGGUAGUAGCUUAUAGCUGUAGGUGGAACUUUAUAGUUGUCUUAUCUUAGGUCUAUUUUUAAAGCUAAACCUUUUCAAAGAUUUACUCCUUUAUCUGGUAUUUGAACUGUCACAUUAUCCAGCCAUUUAUCCAUAAGUUGUUGAGUAUUGGGCCGUGAUUUAGCUCAGUGGCACUGCGCCUGCCUCACAUAGUGCAAGGUCCUGAGUUCGAUCCCCAGUAUGGGGGGGGGUGUUGAGUAUUAAUCUUUAUUUCCUGAAAGCUAUUAAGCAUUUAUAUAAUGAAAUUCAUUAACU